UACGUAGGGCGCAAGCGUUAUCCGGAAUUAUUGGGCGUAAAGAGCUCGUAGGCGGUUUGUCGCGUCUGCCGUGAAAGUCCGGGGCUCAACUCCGGAUCUGCGGUGGGUACGGGCAGACUAGAGUGAUGUAGGGGAGACUGGAAUUCCUGGUGUAGCGGUGAGAUGCGCAGAUAUCAGGAGGAACACCGAUGGCGAAGGCAGGUCUCUGGGCAUUAACUGACGCUGAGGAGCGAAAGCAUGGGGAGCGAACAGG
rnacentral:rRNA from 1 species